GACGGAGGUCCCGAGCGUUGUUCGGAAUUAUUGGGCUUAAAGCGCGUGUAGGCGGAGCGGUAAGUACCUUGUGAAAUCCCCGGACUCAAUCCGGGAACUGCUUGGUAUACUGCCGUUCUCGAGGCAGGUAGGGGUCACUGGAACCUUAGGUGGAGCGGUGAAAUGCGUAGAUAUCUAAGGGAACGCCUGUGGCGAAAGCGGGUGACUGGGCCUGUCCUGACGCUGAGACGCGAAAGCGUGGGGAGCGAACAGG
rnacentral:rRNA from 1 species